AGAGCGAACGCUGGCGGCAGGCUUAACACAUGCAAGUCGAGCGGGCGUAGCAAUACGUCAGCGGCAGACGGGUGAGUAACGCGUGGGAACAUACCUUUUGGUUCGGAACAACACAGGGAAACUUGUGCUAAUACCGGAUAAGCCCUUACGGGGAAAGAUUUAUCGCCGAAAGAUUGGCCCGCGUCUGAUUAGCUAGUUGGUGAGGUAACGGCUCACCAAGGCGACGAUCAGUAGCUGGUCUGAGAGGAUGAUCAGCCACAUUGGGACUGAGACACGGCCCAAAACUCCUACGGGAGGCAGCAGUGGGGAAUAUUGGACAAUGGGCGCAAGCCUGAUCCAGCCAUGCCGCGUGAGUGAUGAAGGCCCUAAGGGUUGUAAAAGCUCUUUUGUGUCGGGAAGAUAAAUGACGGUACCGCAAAGAAUAAAGCCCCGGCUAACUUCGUGCCAGCAGCCGC
rnacentral:rRNA from 1 species